AGGAAACAGGAGGAGACGCCGAGAAGCAGCUGAAAACAACGCAACGGUGCAGGUCUUUCAGUGUGGAUCUCUUGUCACGCUUCAGCCUCGUAAAAUAUUUGUUUGUAAAUUCGAUUCAAGCAUAUUGCUAGUGAUGAUAAUCUUGUUAUUGAUAGAAUUUCUUACAUAUCAAUGUUGGUUACAUUUACUCACACAAAUUGCCUUGCCUUUCAUGCGUCAUGCAAACAAAUGACUCUGAACUGCAGGUUUCCCAGGUGCUUUGCCACAUCGAUCAGCGCUCCUGAAACCCUCUCUGGAUCUGGCAGUGUACACUGGGCUCUGGAAGAACAUUCAGGAGUCAGUGUUGCUGUGGGGUUUGAUACAGAACCACAGAGAAGAGAGAGACAUAAUAAAGUCCCAUUACCUUUUCACUGUAUCCUUGUAGUUCUGUUGGGAAACAAAAUAACACAUUAAUAGAUGUAUUGAUCUUAGAAAAUCAAUUACUACAAUAUUUGUUUAAAGUUGAUAUGGCAGUUGAUUUAUCAGAGGUAGAUUAGUCCUUACCUGCAGGAAUGAGAUGUCCUCAGCUCCCAGCUCUUCCUUUAUGGUUCUGAUUGUGUCUGAAAGUGAUGAUAUCUCUCUGCUCAUCUUCUCAAUCUUCAUCUUCUGAAUCUUCUGCUCCUCUUCAUCCUUCAGUGCAGCUAUCCUGGCUCUCUCUUCAUGAUAUAGAAACUGAUGAAGCUUCUCAAACCUCAUCUUAAUCAGCCUCUGUGUGCUGGGUCUGGCUCUGGAGACAGUAGAGAAGAAUGUCAAAAAUAGAAAUAACUGAUUAUCCAUAAUUCCACAGGGUUAUGAUAUCUUCACAGUAUCAUUGUAUCUCAGCUUCACUCUGUAUUCUUACCUUGAUGUGGUUGGCUGUUUUAUGACAGAUCAGUUUAACUUCUCCAAAGACCUUCAAUUUCUCCUGUAAGGGCUUCAGUGAGGUCUUGAGUUCCUCCUAGAAUGAAACAACAUUUUAACGAUAUGCUGUGGGUAAAAGGAUUGGAUUCACACAGAUCUUCAUUCACAUUCCACAAUAUAUGCUGUAAGUCGUGUUAAAUACAUCUCCUACCUUAUGAUCCAGUACAGCUUCAUCUAUUGGGCAGCAGUCAUGGCUUUUAUGCUUUUUGGAAGUUUGACACACCAAACAGAUGGGCUGUUUAUCCUCCAGACAGAAGAGCUUGAGUUUCUCACUGUGUUGACUGCAGAGCACCUCAGGCCCUGCUGAAGCUCUCUGGCUUCUAUCAUACUGGACAUUCCCGAGAUGUCUUCUGUUUCCAGUAUUCCUCCAGACAGGCCUUACAGAAGCUGUGGCUACACAACAGGACCACAGGAUCCUUGAAGAUGUUAAGACAUGUCUCACUGUUUAUCUUUCUGUUAUGGCUUUGGAAGUCUUUUGAUGAAGGUUUACUUUAAAAAAGUCUAAAUCUAUAUUUGGAUGAUGGUGUUCCUUAGCCGUUAAUUGUUGUUUUGAUUCUUGGUUGUUUACAAAGUUUUUUGGUCAUCCCUUAAUGACAGUUCACUGAAUAUUUAAUAGCUGCAUGUUACAGCGCUGUUCUGUUGUGAGCUUUUCUCCUUCCUGUUAAGCAGGAAUAGGGUGGAGCUCUCUGCUGAGCUGUCUUUAUAUCAGUUUGAGUCUGUGCAGGACACUUCCACUAGAUGUCAGUGUUUACUUAAAUAUAACUGGAUUUUAUUGCUUCAAAAUGCCAGGUGUAUGAAAAUGACCAAAUAAACUGAUCUAACAUUUCUCCUCAUCUGGCUUGACUGUUAGCUGAAUUCUGAAUAUCUA